GCCCGGCUAGCUCAGUCGGUAGAGUGUUGGACUCUUAAUCCAACGGUCGUGGGUUCGAGCCCCACGUUGGGCG
rnacentral:tRNA from 1 species